rnacentral:rRNA from 1 species
UACGUAGGGGCCGAGCGUUGUCCGGAAUUACUGGGCGUAAAGCGCGCGCAGGCGGCGUCCUGCGCCCGACGUGAAAGCCCCCGGCUCAACCGGGGAGGGUCGUCGGGGACGGGGACGCUUGAGGGCGGUAGGGGCCGGUGGAAUUCCCGGUGUAGUGGUGAAAUGCGUAGAGAUCGGGAGGAACACCAGUGGCGAAGGCGGCCGGCUGGGCCGACCCUGACGCUGAGGCGCGAAGGCGUGGGGAGCGAACGGGAUUAGAUACCCCAGUAGUCC